rnacentral:tRNA from 2 species
GCGCCUUUCGUAUAAUGGUAUUACCUCAGCCUUCCAAGCUGAAGAAACGGGUUCGACUCCCGCAAGGCGCU